CAGCCAAGGGGCUCUGUUCCUGAAACUCAAGUUCCUGAGACCGGCAGCCCAGGAUGCUCUUUGUGACCUGGGCAUUGCCAUGGAGAAGCUGCACACGGCUCAGGACCGGGCCAGGCCUUGCUUGUCCUGUGGCCACAAAGCUACAGGACACAUGGUGGGAACACAUGGAACCCUUCUGAUGACACGGCAACACUUGGCUUUAGACCCAGGCUUGGAAGAGCGCGUUGAAGAAAUGGAGUGUGGGAAUGGAAAGUCAGCCUGACUAUACCAUAGAAGUGUUGGAAUGAGGAAGGUAGCUUGGUGAAGAGCCGCUCAGUUCAUGUCUACAGUGGACACAAGUUCUCCCGGGCUUGAGCCUUGAGGGAGCAUCCUUCCCUGAGCAGAGCUGUGUCUCUGCAGGAGAGACUGUACCUAAGACCAUGCUCAAACCCUGCCUUGCCACAGCUGGCCAGGAGGGGGCGCCAUGGUCUGUCUCUGUCACCAGAAGCAGAGAUGGGGUGGCAAGACUGGCUGGGGAGGCCCGAGACGCUCUCUGGGGCAAAUGUAGCAAAGAAUCCUCAAAUAAACACAGCAGGGACACUUAGAGCUCCACACACGGUGUAUCUAUGGAUAGCCUCUGGGCUGUGGUCCUGGAUGGGCAGAGGGGAGAGGGCUGUGAGGACGCCCUCUGCAGGCCUCUCAUGUCACAGUAUUGUCCUAGGGCCACUGUGUCCCGGUCCCCUCCCUUCCAGCACUGGCAGGUGAUGACCCCCCCCCCCAUCCCCACUCUGGUGGAUCCUGCACACUGGAGCCAAUCUGUGUCCUGACUAUCAGGGCACACAGAGCUAUGCCACUAUUCAAGGACCUGCUCUGGCUAUCCAGCACUGCUCCUCUGUCCCAUAAUGGCAUCUUCUGGCUUCCUCCAGGAGGGUAUGCUGAGUGCCUUGUAAACCACAGACGUUUAUAUUCUAUGGCUCUUGUUUUGGGAAGUUGAAGCGCUGGCCCAUUUGGUGAGAGCUCGCUUCCUGGUUCAACAGUGCCUCAUGGAUGGUAUGAGGACUCUCUCAGACCUCUCAAAAAUGGAAUAAAUAUCAACAUGAGCCCUUCAACCUCCUAAAGACCCCCAUCGUGUUGGAGAGUUAGGAUCUCAACAUAUGGGUUUGGGGGAGGGGAUACAAACACUUAAUCUACACCAACAAGGCAAUUAAUAUUGCCCUGUCUUCCAAGGCUAGCCUCUCUGUAGCGAGGGCUUCCCACUCCCCACCCCCCAUCACCUAGUCUUUUGCUAAAUGAAGUAUCCAGAGAGGCAAGAACUGAAAAAAAAUCACGGGGUAUGAUUAUGAGAAUUGAGUCAUUAAAAAUGCCUCUCCCACAACUCCUGAUACCUAUACCAGUGACAGGCAUUACCAAUUGAUCUCAGAUUUCCUCUUUGAGCCAGAACUUAGAUUUCCCCUUCAUUGAUGCUAUAAAAGAGAUGAGAUUAUAUGCCAUGGGUUGUCUGGGAUGGAAACAGAGGACUUGAGAGGUCAGGUGACUGGCCUUAAGUCAUGAAGUGAUUUAAGGCAGAGCAGGCCUAGGUCUUCUCUCUCCUUUCCUCUGGCCCGGGGUUUUACAAUAGGUAUAUGCAUGAACUCUGUAUUCAUAUUCUAGAAAUUAGUUUCUGCAUCAAGCUCUUGUGGGGAAUGGAGAUCUGUUAGGAACCUAUACAUCCAGGAUAAGGUCAGGUCUAUCGACCCAGCUGUCCUCUUGGUGCUUGUAAUUUAGAUACAUGGAAAGUGGGAGAUAUCUGUCCAGAGAGCAGAGAUGGGCCAGGGUAGACUAGAGGAACAAAGGGUACGGCAGAGCCUAGGCUUCUGUUUCUGGCCAUCACGGGCUUCACUUCCCCUCGCAGGGUCAGGAGACUUAAGAAAGAAUCGCCCAGAGGAUGCCAGGCAAGCACUCGGAAUUGGCUAUAGCCAGGGUAUAGUGCUUAACAUGAGCAACCCCUGGGCUCCUUGCUGUUUCCCCAGGCAGCAGGAUGGCCUAUUACAGGGAGAGAACAAGGGCAGAGGGGAGCAAGACCCUGCUGGGGAUGAGUCAGGAGACAUGCGCAAAGCAGGGGUCCAGAGCUAGGCAUGGCUGCCAUUGGGGCAUGGCUGUGGUUGGGCUCUAUACCAUUAUUGAACCCCACUUUUGUUGUCCUGGGGGCCCUAGGGAAGGCUGGGGUGAGGUUCAGAGAAGCCGAGCCUGAAGGGUCUGGGGUUUGUAAGAGAAAAUGAUCCAAUGGUCGGAUGAGAGCUGCAAGCCUGUAACUCUUCCCCUGUCUUAGCCAUCUGACCCCUGGCCUCGCUCCAUCUAAGCUCCGGAAGCCCAGGCUCCUUUUCCAGAGGCAGAGAGGUCUGAGGCUGGUCAAGAGGCUUAGAGAAGGACAGAGCCGAGGAGCAGAAUAAACAGCCCUUCUUCUCCGGAAAAUGACCCUGCUGAUCCCGGAGUUAAAAAUAGUGGCGUAUUGAUCGUGGGCUGUGCCUAGCCAGCACCAGUUAUCUGAGCCUCACUGGCAGAAGGACCUGUCUGACUCAGCCACUCAGGUAAUUUAUUUUUUCCAUUCAGUAGCCAGGAAGUGUCCCCUGCACAUCCUGGGAUGAGCCACGACACCCCCUAACCUCAGAGUUCAUCAUUCCUAUGUUGGGGUGCUUAACCCUAGGGAGAGGGAGAAGGUCACAUUUCUCUAUUUGUUCCUCAAAGACACUGCAGGGUCUUUGUGGGAUGACGUGUCUGCUCAGAGUCUUGUUUUGUGGGUUUAUAGGACAACCUACCGCUCACGGACCACAGGUCCAAGCGUAGCGCACGGUUCAGGCCUCCACACCUGGUUGUCCCUGUUGCUGUCCAUCAGAGGGCACUGCAGGGCACCUGGACCUUCCAGCUUCCUGGUGAUGACCAGACCAAGCUACUUCUCUGAGUGGUGGCUUGUGUUUUCAAUGUGAGUCCACGGUGGGUAGGAGGAUGUGGAGAGGGAUGGGGACAGGGUGCCAGGUGUUUUCCCAAGAAAGACACUGAACCCAUGUGAUUUCCCAUGGGUUAUCCUGUUUACUCAGGCAUUCUCCUCAGCCCUUUCCAUUACAGGGGUACAGGGGUUGCCUCUGAGUAAAAUCCGGUUCCCCAAAAAUGUAUGUCUACACGGAACACCAGAAUGUGACAGUGUCUGGGUCUCUAGCCUAGGAAUGACAAAACCCAGCAAGAGUCACAGGUACUAGAUUCAGGCCUAGGUAGGCUUUCCUCUCAGAGCCCAGGGAAGGCCCUGACCCACUUGCACCUCCAUUUUGGAUGCAUGGCCUGAGAGCUGUGAGGUAGCAAGGAUUUGUCGUCUCAGGCUACCCGCCCUGUGGUCAUGUGGUAGGGCAGCCAGGGAUCAAGGCUUCCUUUGUAGAAAUGGCUUAAGGGCUGUAUCAGGAUGGCAAAGAAGUAGCCGUGAUCCCUGAAGCCAGCAGCACCCCGGGCUUGGAGUUAGAACAUCAGAGCUCCGCAUCACCUUCUGAGGCCUUGGCUUUGUCACCCUACAGUGGGCACGGUCAUCCAAACUCACAGGAAGAGCGCCAAAAGCCAUUGCAGGCCCACCUGCUAGGGCAGUGGCUGUGGAGUGGAGGGUGUGGUCCCGAGGGCUAAGGGCACGGCUUUUGCUUCCACUGCUGCCCACCGUGCCCACCCAGAUCUGGAAGACGCUAGGUAGAAGAAUCUGGGGCCGGGUACAGGCAGAACUGAAAACGUGGCUUUAGAUGAAGCCAUUGCUUCCGAGGAGAACUUGAACUAUGAAAGCCGACGGACGGUCUAGGGCCAGCACCUGGCUCUCUGUGCCGCUGUGGCCAGCAGACGAAAGGGCACACCAAGGAGGGAGAGGCUUGCAGGCGGCUUGAGCACAGCCUGGCUUUCAUCAUGCAGGGCCCUCAGCCAACCCGAGCUUUCUAGUUUGCUCUUCUUUGCCCUUCAGUCCUUAGCAGCCCUCAGUCCUGCUAUGGCCUGGAUGCUCCUGCCCUUUCCAACAUUGAAGCUGACAUUCUAGACUCAGAGGUAACACAUUAGGUGGGGGCCUCAGUGGGGUGAUCAAGCCAUGGACCAGAGACGACCUGAGUGGGAUCAGUGCCCUUUCAAAUGAGGUCUGAGAAACCCCUCACCUUAUCACAGGAAACAGGGCAUCUGUGAACAGGCUAGCCCUCACUAUACAUGGACUGACUGGUGCUAGCAUGGUGGUGAGGAUGGAGAUGAUGAUGAUAGUGGUGAUGACGAUGAUGAUGGUGGUGAAGAUGGUGGUGAUGUUGGUGAUGGUGAUAAUCAUUUAUUGAUUACUUUUUUACCUGCCAGGUAAUAUUCUAUAAGCUUCCCAUGCAUUAACCUACAGCACAAGGUUGUCACAUUUGCUGAUGUGGAAACAGGCACGGAGAAGUUUGGAGCUGUACCCGAGAGCAUAGAGAGGCUAUUGACAGAGCCUGGCAGUAAAGCCAGAGAGUUCAGAAUCCUCUCUGCCCACCUUCCAUGGGGUGGGCAUGAGCCCAGGAGAGAGUACUUGUCAGAGACUUGAGGGGUCACCGACUGCUUGCUCAUCAGAAGCACCUGAAAUAUAUACAGAUGCAAAAUAGGGAAAGGUGGUAAGAGGAAAAAAGGGGGGAGGGGAGAAAAUGAAGAAGGAACAAACAAAGGAAGCCUCCAGAGGGAGGGGACCGAGGGCCAGAGGGACCAGUGCCUGCUGUGUGGCGGGUUCUGGCCCACCUAGCCAGAGUCUGCAGUGCUUGCAGCCUGAAGCGUCUCGGAAGGUGCCACCGCCACCACCUGCUUGCUCUGCUUGGCAUCAGUCUUGAGGUAGGGAGGAGAGACCAGGGCUGGAAGCAAGUUUGGCAGAGCCGGGCUGGGGUCUCUUUGGUAUUCUUUGCAGGACUUGGAACUCAGUGGGUGCUUAAUAAAUGUUUAUUAUGGGUAAUAAAAUCAACCUUGUUUACACCAGGACUGUCUCCAAAGACCACUUUCCAUACUUAAAAAUAACCUUAAUCUCCUCUCGCCACAUCCUCCACAGAUGGGGUCGACUCUACAGUAUGCCUGGCGAGGGACGAGAAGGCCUACAGACCACACACAUCCCAGCUUAGCUCUCCCCAGGCCCCCACCUCUGAUCUCUGGAGAACCCGGGACACAGGUUGACCCCUAGAUCUUCCUCAUGGGACUUGGAGGUAUGGUGGACUCAACUGUAUCCCUUACCUUAAUCCAAAAUUUGGAACCUGAACCUUACAGUGCAACCAGAAAAGAUGGCCUCCCCCAAGUGCCCAGCUCCUUCCUCAGAGGCUCCGUGCACAGCAGUGUCCUGGAUGUUCCCUCUCACAAAUACACUGGAGCAGGACAUGACUCUUCAGUGGGCUAAAACUAUCUCAGAGAGGUGCCAGUCUCACUAGCCAGCCCUACCAAGCAAAGAUGCCCGUGCCCACAGAGUAGGCCCUUCUGGGGAAGGCCUGCCUCCUGUGUGGAGUGUGCUCAGCUCUCUGCUCCCAACCUCACAUUCUCUAGCAGGUGGUCUGAGACACAGGCUAGCCCACUGUGUCUAGAGAGUGGGUCUGCGGGCCUGGGUAGACCUGUCCCCAGCCUGAGCCCAUGCCCAGGACCACAGGCCCUGUGAACCCUCGCCUGUUCUUUUUGAUGGAUACUUCCCCUCCCUCCAUCCCUCUCUCCCUCCAUUCCUCCUCCUUCCCUCCCUGUGUCCCUCUCUGCUUCUCUCUCUCCCUGUCUGCCUUCUCUAUCCUCACAGAUGCUCACCCCCCCCCCCAUUUCUGUGGUUCCUAUCACCCAUUCUCCAAACCCUCUUUCCAUAUGAGGUGGUGAGGACUGGACUUCUUGGACCAUGGCUAUGACUACAGGUCACACAUGACAAAUAUAGAGGUCACACAUGACAGAUAUAGAGGUCACACAUGACACAUCCAUGUGCUUCCCCUUGUGCACACAAUGCACACAGCACACAAAGACAGCCAUUACUAGAACUUGCUGCACCUCGCUCUUGCUGCACAGGGCCCGGAAUGGUGAUGGAGCCAGCAGGGAGCUGAUUUUGUUUUCUGGUGCUGGGUAUGGAACCUGGGGGCUGUGCCCAUGCUAAGCACAUGCUCCACCGCUAAGCUGUGCCCCAAGCUGUGGCAGCAGGGGGCUUAGAGAGCUCCUAAGAACUCGCUGGGCACGGCAUGGGAUGGGCAGGAGGCGCUGGUUUCCUUCUUUUCUGGUGCGGUGACUGAAGUCAGGUGCUUGCUAGGUGAGUGUUGUUACCACUGAGUUUAAUGCUUAAGCCAGUAGACCUUAGCCAGGCCCCAAGGGGAGCCCAGGCACAGGGAGACACCCGCCAGCCCUGCCAGUCUAUCAGGCCUGCUGAGCCUUGCUGAUUGCCUGCACUUUAGUCCUCGAGGGUGGCAGGCACUGGGAGCCAGUGCUACCCAGGCUCCUCUGUGGAGUGGGGAGCCAAGUUGCAGGCAUGCUUAUUCUCAGCAGCUCUGUGCAGGAGCUCCUGACAAACCCAGGAGAGUGCUCAUGCCGGGAUACAGUGGCUCACAACCAACAUGUGAGUAGAAGAAUCCCUGACACACAGAAAUAGGGCACUGGGCUGGGUGGACCAAAUUUGAUGUGUAGAUAUGAGUGACAAUCAGCAGGUCUGUGUACACUUAUGCUCGGGUGGCACUGAGGUGUGGCCGGGGUCAGGGGCAGGAGGAACACUGCGGAAUGUCAAGGGCGAGGCAGGAAGCAGCUUCCAGAAAAAUGUUCCUGUCAGUACCUAACAGCCCCAGACAACUCGGGGUUGCAGGUGCUGCUACAGGGAGGGUCUCAGGAGGUGAGGAGCUGGGGAAGCAGAGGGUCCCCUCACUCGGAGACUGGAGGAUGCGGGAACCACAGACAGGCUAAGGAUUUACAACAGCUGCGGAAACACCAGACCCUUCUCUGCGGGCGCUUGUCUAUGCCAGCCAGAGGAGCGAGAUAAGCCAUCUGAGAACAUUGUACGACAACUCAGGUGGUUUCAGAUGGCUACGGGUGACAUCUCCAAACGAGAGAUAACGUGUCAGGGACACGUGGGCAGUGCUGCAUUGUCCCAGCAGCCUGUUGAGGAGACUCAGGCAGAAGUAUUGGCUUCCGUGGGAAGUGAAAUUUCAACUACCCACCUCCUGGAUGGUGCCACAGUGGGAGGCAAACUGAGUCAUCCCCAGCCACGGCGAGAAAGUGCUAAGAUUCUUACAUAGUGCUCUUACAUAUUCCAACCAAGCAAGUACCCCAAACUGUCCCCUGAAAGUGACUUUACGAGGUUCAGCUGAUUGAUAGAGUAGCAGAUUUUAGAGGUUCCCAAAGCUCUGGGCAUGCUGAACCCCAUGCCCUGGGCAGCCACAGCCUGCUUACCUCUGUAAGGCUGGCUGGAACAGGUGCUCCCAGGCAAGGCCACCUCUGGUGUGCAACUAUGCUUGGCACCGCUAAUCUAUCACCUAGGCCAUGACCUUCAAGUGGGACAAGUUCUAAAGGAAAGAAUUCUCAGGACUCUCUCUGGAGGCUUAGCAGUAUUUCUGUGAACUAGGGCAUGAGAUGGGGGCAAGCUGGCUGUAGUGCAGCUAGGAAAGCAGCCAUCACCUUACAGGCAGGGGGUAGUGAAUUUCUCUCCGUGUAUGAGCCAUUCCGGCCUCUGGGAAGUAGGGUGAGGAGCCAUCCCAUCACUGUCUUGGCUCAGGAAGAGGGAAUCCCUGAUAGGAACUAGUCCCUUGGGACCCUUCUUGCCUAGGUCACCCCAUAAGGACCAUACGCUGGCUGUGACUGAGUUGGCCUGGUGCCCGCGUCCCUUCUGGGGGAUCUAGCUGAUUGUUUACUGGGCCAAAGUACAGUCAGGCCAGGGACUCACUGUCUCUGUUUGAGAUUAUUUCAGAAGGUUUGGUGGUGCCCCACUCAGCAGGAGCUGGGAGCCCUGUCUCCUACAGGAAGGUAUCUGAAUGCCUCAUCUUGCCUGCUGCUGGUCUGCUCAUGAAGAAAAGGUUUCUGCAACAAGGGAGGAGCCAUGUCCAGAGUCACACCAGGAGUGAGGAGGGCCUGUUUCCAGUGCCUGCAGCCGCUCUUAAAGUCUGAACCACGUGUCACGGAGUCUCCAGUUCUCUUGGGUGAUGGUCUUAGAAGGCUUGGGCUACAGUAAGGAUGCUAUCCAUCUCCCUCUGGUGGCCAGCCUUCUCUCAGCCUUUUUCCAUCCUCUGCCUCAUUGAGCUGCCCACCCCAGGUACCACUUGCUAUGGCUUUAUUCACUCAUAGGAAUGCCCUUAGGUCAUUUUCUUAUCGGGCAGAUGGGGUCCCAAGCUUGCUGACAAUGCAUCUUCAAGUAGAUGAUGUACUUCAACCCAGAGAUCUCGAAGCACAAACCCUCACAACUCACCCCUGAUGACCUGUGUCCGGUCCAGCGGACUUCAUGUCAUAGCUGGUUUGGGGGCGUGGGUCAUAUCCGUGGCCCAGUUGCCUGUGCAUCGUGUGGCCUAAAAGGAGCACAGAUGGUCUCUUCUCACCUAGAGGGGACAAGGACAUCUUGCCCAUGUCACUUCAGGUCCGCUGCAGGCCAUUCUUAUAUUCAGCUCAGUCCCCAGCCCUGAGCUCAGCGGGUGAGCAUGGACCAAUGUCUUAGGGGACUUCAGAGAACCAGGGACAGUGGGGCCUGCAGAAAAUAGGCAGAGCCACCUCAGGGCCUCUAAGAAGUUGGGUGGGACUAGGGCCUUCUGUUUCACUUGUCCUUAGAGACACAGCCAGAAUCCCUUUAACCCGCAGUAGGGAUGACCAGGAGAGAGGAGUCGCCAUAUUGAAGGUGGAUAUCCAUCCCAUUUAGGUCAGCCUCCUGCCUCAGGCUCCCUGAGGCACACAUGUUUCUGAAGGAAGUAAACAUUUCCUUGGCAAAGAAUUCUCAAGAACGCGGAACGAGUUUCUCAUUUAAAAAAUGCAGAGGUGUUCUGGAAACUGACUUGGGAUCUCUUUUGGAAUUCUCCUCCAGGAGGGGAACCUGAGCACUGCCCUUCAUCUCCCCAGUGCUGGAUUGAGGAGGAAACACUCAUAGAAUGUAGGUGUAGCCACAGAGUUGCCUCAUUGAAGGCACGAUGAUCUUAGGGGCAGGCUCUGGGCCCCUCCCUCCCAAGGCUGUGAGUGUUCACCUGUCAUGGAGGGCCUUGGUCAAUGGAAUCACCUUGCUCAGUGCCUGCGUCCUCCUCCCCCCCCCCCAAAAUAAACUGAUCUGCGGCCUGAACAGGUCCACUGAGCUCCAAACUUUGCCCCCUGUGAAAAUCUGAAGCAUGCAGCUGGGCUGGCUGCCCCCUCCGCUCCCUGAUCCUUUAAUCUGAGACUAUUAAAACUUCAUUCCACUUCUAUUGGUAAACCAUCCAUCACUCUCACCAAGCAGCGCAGGGCUGUGGGAGCCCAGCGGGAGGGCGGCAGGCAGAGGGAGGGGUAGGCAGGCAGACUGCCCCCAGCUGCCUGCCCUGCCAGUCCUGGCCAGAAUGGGGCGGGGAGGCCGCUGUCCUUGAAGAGGACAAGGCUCGUGA